GCUUCCUUGGCUCAGUUGGUAGAGCGUUGGUCUCAUAUUUAGCUAUGAGUGAUUGCUGGAUCGCCUAAUCCAAAGGUCGUGAGUUCGAGCCUCACAGGGAGCA